UACGGGGGGGGGCAAGCGUUGUUCGGAAUUACUGGGCGUAAAGGGCUCGUAGGCGGCCAACUAAGUCAGACGUGAAAUCCCCAGGCUCAACCUGGGAACUGCGUCUGAUACUGGAUGGCUUGAAUCCGGGAGAGGGAUGCAGAAUUCCAGGUGUAGCGGUGAAAUGCGUAGAUAUCAGGAGGAACACCGGUGGCGAAGGCGGGUCUCUGGGCAGUAACUGACGCUGAGGAGCGAAAGCGUGGGGAGCGAACAGG
rnacentral:rRNA from 1 species